CCUAUGACCGAGUUAAGUGCCCUUGACUGGAAUCUAACCUGGAACUCUUCAGUCCUUGGGUUGACUCUCUAUUCACUGAGCCAAACCGGCUAGGGGCUCAAAUAUUUUUUAAAUGUGUCAAUAAAGCUCAGAGGGAUUUAUAUGCAAAGCUAUUGUAAUGUGUUUACAAGAAGAAAAAAAUGCCACCUCUCUACAAGUAGAGAAAAUGUUAAAUAAAUUCUUAUAUAUGCAUACUUUUAUGUACAAUAUGUUUGGAAAUUACUAAAUGGGCACAGGAAGAGAUGCAUCUAAAACACAAAAAUUUUGGAAGAGUCAGGAUCUGGUUUCUGAAGAAAAAUAGAAAUUCCUUGGGUGAGAAAAGUUGGGAGUUACAUUCCAGGAAGGAGUUAGGGGCAGAGAGGCCAAAGCCUCAGAACACUCAUAGAGACCUGGGAAGUUCAAACACCCAGGAGGUGUUUGAAUUCCCAGGAAGAAAUGACAAGAUACAAAGCAAAAACUAGCUGUCACCAGUUUUUAAAAGAUUGGGAUGUCAUGCUAAUGGACUCUAUUUUUCAAUUGCAAACCAUCUGAGCUUUUGUUUGUUUGUUUGUUUGUUUGUUUUGUUUUUUUUUCUGAGCUCAAUUAUCUUUUAUUCUUUUUUUUUUUUUUGUAGUUAAGGUAUUACAAAUGUGUCCUCAUCCCCCCCAUUAGAGAAGGCUUAACACAAUUGUUUUACUUUAAAUGAUACCUCUGGUAAGGACCAUCCCACUUUCCCCUUUUGGACAUUUACCAAAUAGAAUUACAUAUAACAAAAGCUACCUUAAAAAUCAAUAGCAAGGGAUAUCCCCAAGUUUCGUACACUAAAUUGGUGACUACAAGUACAGCAAGAUGCACGAUAGUUUAAAACAUCUCAUAAAAGACUCACCGUGCUGUUGAAGCCAUCCUUUUCACUGGGAGGUUAAAUAGCUAAAGCGAGUGCUUUUUUGAAUCCUAAAUCAGCAGUCCAGUUAAGUGAUCCAGGCUUCAGUAUAGAGAUGCAGAGCUGUGAGCUGAAAAAUCGAGACAGAGUGAUAGAAAAACCUGCCCAGGCACCGGCUUUCAAAACGUUUUCACCUUAGGUCCAGUCACUGCUUUUCAUCUUCAAAGUUCUUUGCAUACAUUAAUAAAUUUAUCCUUAUGACACACCUUCCAGACCCGAACCCUGAACCACGCAGGACUUGGAGGGAAACACUUACAACAUUUUUCAGUGCACAAGAUGAUGCCCAAGCAACUGAGCCACACCAGGGCCACAGCCAUUGGGUUUUAUCACUACUCUUCGUGAGGAUGAUCAAAUUCCCUUAAGAUGCACCAUUUCAGCUGGAUAUACAAUGCAGAUGCUACUAAGCAAGGCCAUGUGAAGAAAUAGCUGCAUAGCUAAGUACAAAAAUAUUAUGUAGUCAACCAUGGUUACUGCAUAGAUGAUGAAACAAAAUAUGCCUGAAACUUUCAUGUCCCAGGAGAGGAGAUUAAACAGGAUUCUCUCACUAGUCUUAAAACAUUUAUCUAUCAGAUAGAGAUAUUUGCAAUAAUGUGUGAAAUACUAAUGUCGUUUCCAGUUAUAAAGAAACAAAACUGGCUAAAUUGUGAUGUUCAUUUCUCCACCUGAAAUGAAAACUGGCAAUAAGGGAAAUAAUAAGAGAUAUCUGGGGCUAAGACUCUGGAAAUUUUCUUAGGGCUUUGGAAACAGUAUCAGUGUCUGCUCAAACCUGACACCAAACUUAACCUCUCCCACCCUCAAGCCAAUUGGGAUGAAAACCAGUUCCACUUUAGGCUUAACUUUAUAAAACCGGUAUUGUCAAUCCAGAGUCUGUUUAAGCCAUUUUAAUAGAUCAAGUCAGGAUGGUAUCCUCAUAUUUUAGUGUCAUGAACAGUACAAAUAAAGCUUUCAAUGACAUCUAAUCAGAACAUUUUCUUUUCUCUCCCCUAAAACCAUUAUUCCAUAAAGGUCCAGAUUUCCCCAGCCUGUCAGUCAUUACAACUACAAGCUGCCCAAGCACAUUCAAAAGCCAUUGAGCAGCUAAUUUCCCAAGAUAGAUUUAAAAGACAUGAGAUAGCUGUGGUUGUGGUCCCUCUGGCUCCCACCACACAAAGCAGAGUUCUGAAGUGCAUGAGGAUUUCUUUUGCUGAUGCCAAAUAGUCAAGGCAUCCAAGGAAUCAAAAAGGGCCAACAUUGGAUAUACAAUUAAGCAGAGGAAGGCAUGACACCGGGACCCAACAGUCUCCAUCUGCUAAUAGGAGGUGCCAGAGAGAGACCAGAGUGGUGGGGUUGGAAGAAGAAACCUGCCUCUUCCAUUUGCUCCUGCCAACAGCUCCCCAUCAAUGGCUCUUUAUCCUGGCAACAAUGGUUGAUUUCAGAAGCUGCAAGUGGUUCCAAUUUUCAGUUUUUCCACACUUCACACCUCACUAUGCCCCCUUAAAGACCACCCCCCUUGCCCUGGCUGGUUUGGCUCAGUGGAUAGAGUGUUGGCCUGCGGACUGAAGGGUCCCCGGUUCGAUUCUGGUCAAGGGCAUGUACCUGGGUUGCAGGCACAUCCCCGGUAGGGGGUGUGCAGGAGGCAGCUGAUCGAUGCUUCUCUCUCAUUGAUGUUUCUAACUCUCUAUCCCCCUCCCUUCCUCUCUGUAAAAAAUCAAUAAAAUAUAUUUAAAAAAAGACCACCCCCCCCCCCCCAGAUAAGCAGUAUCUCCUCCUCAGAGGUGAGAAUUUCAGCUCUAUGCUUCUAAAUUUUAAUUACCCAACUUCUUCCUGCUGUUCUCCAAGCCUGUAUUAGUCCACUAGGCUUUCAUAACAAAGUAUCACAGACUGAGUGGCUUAUACAACAGAAAUUUAUUUUCUCACAGUUCUGGAAGCUGGAAGUCCAAGAUCAAGAUGUGGACAGAAUUGUUUCUCCUGAGGCCAAUCUCCUUGGCUUUCAGAUAGCCAUCUCUUCCCUGUGUCUUCACCUGUUCCCUCUGUGUCUGUGUCCUAACCUCCUCUUCUUACAAGGACACCUUCAGAUGGGGUAGGAACCACCCAUUUUAAUUUAAUCCUCUUUAAAAGCCCUAUCCCCAAACACAGCCACAUUCUGAAGUCCUGGAUGCUAAAACUUUAACAUGAAUUUUGGGGAAGACCCAAUUCAGCCCAAAACACAGCCCUAGCUGCUUCACAUAGUUAAUACCUCUAUAAAACCUCACUUGCCUUUCUUUUUUAUUUCUUUUUUUCCCCCUUUCAGUUCUCUAAUACUUGGUUAAGAAUCUUAUAUUAAAUCCUCUAUGUUAACUUAUUACAUGGUUUCUGCAUUUUGAAUGGAUCUCAGCUGAUACAGUAUGUCUCAUGGUGAUAGUGCUUUGGAGUAAAAAUAAAGCAGAAAAAGGAAGUAGAAGUGCUACAGUGAGGGUGGGUUUCAACUAACAUAAGAGGGAUAGAAAAGACUCAUUGGCCGGUAACAUUUUAACAAAACCUGCAGGAGGUGAAAGAAUAAGCCACGAGGCUUUCUUGGGGCAAAACAUCUUCUGAGAGAAGAGGUGGCCUGGUGAUAAAAGGCUCCAGAAUUCUUAUUGAAUAUUGUGCAAUGCUCAUUGAGACAAGUCAGUGCAGAGCAAAGAACUAACUUGCUCUGAUGGACUCUUUCCCAUUGCAAGCAUGUCAGUCAUUGCCAGUGGGGAGCUGGGAAGUACUGAGUAAGUCUCACAUUAAAAUAAUAAGAAGAAUUUUAGGGCUGGCAAGAAUCUUGUAGUUCAUCUAACCCACCUUUCACAUUUUGUGAACUUAGACCCAGAAUUCAGUUGACCAGGUUCAUGCUGUUGAUUGACUGUGAAACUUGGAACUUCAGUCUCCUGAUUCUCUCAGUUCAGGAGUCUGUGUGCUUUCCACAUCCAUAAUGCAACAAGUAUUGGGUUAACUAUAAGCAAAUAAUCAGGGAUAUACUUCCACCAAAAAUGCCCAGUCCUCAGAUUAAAAUAAAACUUAUCGUUCAAUCAUAUCUUGGGGGGAGGGGAACAUGCAAAUAUUUUGACAUACGAAUAAAGGCAUGGGCAAUAGUCCAAAACCUUGAUCAAGAAGUAACAAUAACACUAAUGUAUACUCUUUAUGGUGUUUUUUCUCAGCCCAUAUUGCAGAUGUAAGCCCUUGAAUUCUCUUCCGGGUCUAGACCUAAACCCAGUUGCUCCUCUGUCUUUUCCAGAGGUGCUUGAGAGUAAGGUCUUCCACAUUACUUCAUUUUCAUUAGCCCACAAGAUGCCAAGUAAGUGUUACCAGCUUGCAGAAACCAAAAUCCUGGCCACUGACAGAACUCUGAUGACAAGACUAAUAGCAUGAAGAAAGGACAUGGCAUAAACCAUUUUGUUAGCAGUGUUCAGAUCCUCAUUUUGCAAAGCUCUCAGUAGGACAUAGAUGUUUUUAUGCCACAAAGACAAAGGCUUUUGCUUUCUUUCUAGAGAAAAUUGUAAUAUCAUUACUACACUAUUGGCUCUGCUUUGGACCCCAGAGCACAGGAUGGCCAUUGCACAUUAGCUCCUGACAGGAAACCCAAAGAAGCAGCAUGGUUGCUUUAAGACACAGCAGUGCUUCUAAAUAUUCAAUGCAUGCUGCUUGCCUUUGUAUGCCAUAGGGCUCCAUAGUGUGUUUAGCUUAAAUGGGAACCUCAUAUAUAUCAUAUUUUUCUAUAUUUACUAAGGACUCGUUUCAUUGCAAUAAUCAUUAGUAUUGAUGUUACAUGCAAGGUACUGGGAGAAGUAAUAGAUCACACAACAAAAAUCUUUGUUACUGCCUCUAACAUAGUUACCACAAGCUAAGAGUAGCAAAGGCUGAAAAGACACAAGUGGGGAGGAGUGGAUUAAAAGGAAUAAAAAGGUUAUAAAGAGAGAGAAAACAUGAGGUUAUUAUUGCAUUAGGAAACUAGUAGUGAUGCAUUGUAAUUUCAGUGAAAUAAAUGUAAAAUUUCAUUAAAAAUUAUUUCUGUA